UGUGGUUAAGUUGGUGCAAAUGAUUGUUACAAUACUUGUUAUUAUUUAGGACAAACCUUAGCCUUU